CGCAACCCCUCGCAUUUAGUUGCCAUCGGUACGGGCCGGGCACUCUAGAUGGACUGCCGGCGGACAAGCCGGAGGAAGGUGGGGAGUGACGUCAAGUCAUCAUGGCCCUUAUGUCCAGGGCGACACACGUGCUACAAUGGCCGGCACAGCGGGAAGCGAAUGGGCGACCAUGAGCGGAUCCCCAUAAAAGCCGGUCCCAGUUCGGAUUGCAGUCUGCAACUCGACUGCAUGAAGUUGGAAUCGCUAGUAAUCGCGGAUCAGCCAAGCCGCGGUGAAUACGUUCCCGGGCCUU
rnacentral:rRNA from 1 species